GGGUGCGUGGCGGCAUGGGGCCGAGCGCAGGUUAAAGUUGACGCAUUGGUCGGGCCGCCAAUG
rnacentral:ncRNA from 1 species